rnacentral:rRNA from 1 species
CCUACGGGAGGCAGCAGUGAGGAAUAUUGGUCAAUGGGCGGGAGCCUGAACCAGCCAAGUCGCGUGAGGGAAGACGGUCCUACGGAUUGUAAACCUCUUUUGCCGGGGAGCAACGGGGUCCUUGCGAGGGCCCAAUGAGAGUACCCGGAGAAAAAGCAUCGGCUAACUCCGUGCCAGCAGCCGCGGUAAUACGGAGGAUGCGAGCGUUAUCCGGAUUUAUUGGGUUUAAAGGGUGCGUAGGCGGACGCUUAAGUCAGCGGUAAAAUUGCGGGGCUCAACCUCGUCGAGCCGUUGAAACUGGGUGCCUUGAGUGGGCGAGAAGUACGCGGAAUGCGUGGUGUAGCGGUGAAAUACAUAGAUAUCACGCAGAACUCCGAUUGCGAAGGCAGCGUACCGGCGCCCAACGGACGCUGAAGCACGAAGGCGUGGGUAUCGAACAGGAUUAGAUACCCUAGUAGUC